GCGGGGAUAGCUCAGUUGGGAGAGCGUCAGACUGAAGUCUCACUUCUGUUAUAUAUCUGAAGGUCGUGUGUUCAAUCUACACUCACCGCA